AACGAACGCUGGCGGCAUGCCUAACACAUGCAAGUCGAACGAGACCUUCGGGUCUAGUGGCGCACGGGUGCGUAACGCGUGGGAACCUGCCCUUAGGUUCGGAAUACCUCCCAGAAAGGGGUGCUAAUACCGGAUAAUGUCUUCGGACCAAAGAUUUAUCGCCUUUGGAUGGGCCCUCGUUGGAUUAGCUGGUUGGUAUGGUAAAAGCCUACCAAGGCGCCGAUCCAUAGGUGGUCUGUGAGGAUGAUCAGCCACACUGGGACUGGGACACGGCCCAGACUCCUACGGGAGGCAGCAGUGGGUAAUAUUGGACAAUGGGCUAAAUCCUGAUCCAGCAAUGCCGCGUGAGUGAUGAAGGCCUUAGGGUUGUAAAGCUCUUUUACCCGGGAUGAUAAUGACAGUACCGGGAGAAUAAGCUCCGGCUAACUCCGUG
rnacentral:rRNA from 1 species